GUCCCCAUCGUCUAGAGGCCUAGGACACCAGCCUUUCACGUUGGUGACGCGGGUUCGAAUCCCGCUGGGGACGCCA
rnacentral:tRNA from 1 species